CUUCCAGUAACCGCAUGUGUGAACGACAAAGGCCACAGGCGUCACGCGUCACAGGGAGUGAGGUCUCAUUAGUUCCGACUAUUGUCAAGUUGUCAGCGCGCUAUCGCUAUACCAGGCUUUUCUCAGAGCAGCCGUAAUAGCCUAUCACCGAGCCGCGACAGCUUGCGCAAAGGAUCAUGGU